UAAAAACAGUUAAAUAAAGCGGGUUUUUUAUUUGCCAAUAGGCAGGGUUUUGACUUUAAAAAUUACAAAUACAAACAAUAUAAAGGUGGUAAUCUAAGUAUAGUAAUAUGUCAUAAAUACAUCUAGAUAUGUAAAAUUUAAAAAUAGAGGAAAAAAUUUGUUGUAGGAGUAGAUAUGACAAGGAAUUUAAAUAAGCAUUUAAAUAAACUUCUGGAAUUUUAUUUAUAUUAUAUAUUAUCAUUAUUGCGUCAAAAGAGACAAUAAAUAUUAAUCUGAAUAUAAUUAUACAAAGUAUAAAUUAUACUAUUUCAAUGUCGCUUAAAAGAAAGGGCUUUUUUAUGUUCAUUUGUUUACUGAUGGGGUUUUUAUUUGGAAUAAUGGAACUGGUAUAGAAAUAUUAAUCUAAGUAUAGAAAUAUGCAAUCAAUAUAUAAAGAUAUAUAUGAAAACACAACAGAUAAAUAAAUAUCAAUAAUAGGAAUAGACGUAAUGUACUAUAUCAAUUACUUAACACAUCAGUGUCCGGUAUAAAUAUGCAUGUGGAUGUAAAUAUAAAAAAUAGAAAUAUAAAAUAUAUUUCAAGAUGGUUUUAAAGGAAGGGGGCUUCUUUGGUUCUUGUAGGGUAAGAGGCAGGUGUUUGGCAUUUAUUUUAGAGGAUUUUUGAGGGCAUCGCAGCUGGUCUUCUGCCCGCCUUCCCCGCCCGCCCCAGAGCGCGGCAGCAGCGCAGCCCCCCCGCACAGGCAGCCGAGGGGCGGCGGCCAUUACGCGUCUCUGCCGCGGCGCAGGCGCGAUCGCGACCUUGGCAGCGGCUCGGCCGGGACGCGCUCGGGCGUCCCGAGAUGGCGGCACCAAGGGCGGGAGAAAGGAGCCGCGCGGCCCGUGCCCCGGACCGGCUGUUGGGCACCCCGAGGCCGCAGCGGCGGGAUUGUCCGUGAGCAGGGAAGGAGAUGGACCCAGCCCAGCGCGUGGAAAUGGAUCUCUCCAGCUGAACGCUCAGGUGAAGUGAGCAGAGAGCAUGCCCAGCAUGAACCAGGCAGAGCAACACGGGAGCAGCAGGGAGAGGUGGCUUUGUCCUGGAGGUUCCAGGAGCUCGGGGUGGAUAUGCGAGCCUGCAGCUCCAGGCUGCCGCAGGACCCAAGGGCUGCACACACCCAGAGCGUACAGGUUCGCUCGUAUUGUAAUUUGCAAACGGCACGGCAAAUGCCACGAGAGCAGCUGCGGAAGGUGGCUCAGAAGCAAUGACAAGAAUGUGCUGCAAAGUUGGGUCCAGCAGUCCAGCUUCCCGACACGCCAAUUCUGAAGCACUGAGCAGAGCCGAUCUCUGAGAGCUGACACGGGAGCUCUGGUGAGGACAGCUGCUCCCCUGCCUCGGUGUGGGACCUGCUGAGCUGCCGUUCCUGUGGUGGGAGUGUUUCUCCUCUCAUCCAGGCAAGCCAGAGACCUCCUAGGGAAGGGGCAGCAGAGUGCAGCCGCCCAAGAAAGGAUUUUUUGUGGCUCAGCCAGAUGUUCUCCUGCCUCCCGCCAAGACCCUGAGAUGGAGCUGAGUUUGCAUUCCAAUUUAUUGGAACAGAGGCUCAUCAGAAGUUUCCUCAGCUAUCUGAGGCACAGAGCCCUGGAGCCAAGACAGCGUGAAGACUGAAAUUGUAAGAAGAUGUGGAGGGAAACAGAGAAUCUGACGGGAGCAUCGAACGCACAAGUGCACAAAUUUUGCUUGGAUUUAAACUCAGAAGUUGUAAGGAAUUUGGGAAUGAGAAGGGACAUUUCAGAAGGAGAAGAAGUUGUUGUUACAGUCCUGGCAUAAUCUUUUGUUCUAGCUAAUAAAGGAAGUUAGUUUAAAUUAAAAAAAAGAAAAAAAUGUGGGGUUUUUUUCUUCACUAUUAUAUUCAUUGGUGGUAUAUGGUGUGUUGUUUUAUUUCUUGGUAUUAUUAACUCUGUGUAAAUUGUUUUUGGAGUGAAGCUAACUUUCUGGAUGGGUUGGUUUGUAUUUGAGGUAGGAUUAAUUACAAUAGGUUUCUUUAAUAGAGUUCUGAUAGGUAUUACUUGGGUUUUGGUUUUGUUUGCUGUAUAUAUAAACAUACACAUUUGGUAGGGCCAGCUUGGCUGCUGGAGUUUAGCAAAUGACCUAAAUUGUUUUUUUGUUACAUCCUGUGAUCAGUUUUAGGCAGUGACUUUAUACUGCUUUUAGGAUUUUCUUAUGCAAUGGUGAGAAAAUAGGCAGGUCUGAUACUUGUUUGACUUUUUUUGUACUUAAUGUUUCAUGAAAUUCUGUAAGCCAAGCGAUCUACUGGUUAAACUAUACCAUCAACUCUUCCUCAUUCCUUUGGGCCUAGAUUCCCCAUUUCCCAUGUCUCUCUGUCUACUUGUUAUCAUACCCAGCUAGGCCUCCUGUGAACUGGUCUUGCCAGAAGGGCUUGCUGAGUUUUCCACUGUGUGGAAAAGAGAUCCCAUUUGGAGCCUGAAGCCUCGUGUUUCCUGUAGGAUUUCCACUCCUAGAAUUGCACACUUUGAAGGAUUUCUUAUAGCAGAAGUUUUCUGGGAGCUAGGACUCUGGCUGGAUUAGGGUCUCUGGACUCUCAGGUGAAGUGACCUUGAGACACUAGGGCAUGCAGAUUUCCUUGCUGUUGAAAAGAGCUAUUGUUGGCACCCAGGAGCCAUGGUCUGAAUGGGGGUGUCACCUCUUAAAUUUGCAAAUGUAACAGGAUUUCUUCUAAAUGAAUGGUGCUAAGAACAUAAGGUCUGGCUGGCUUUCGACUUAGAGGCGCCUCCUCUAAAUUGGUCUUCAGAUGCUAGGUUGGAAAGUGUUCCUACAUAUGCCAAAUAGCCCUUGUUAUGCAGUUAAUAAGCUUCAAAGUACACAUGGAGUUGCUGCCCCUGCAAAGAUUUUGGCAGAGCCUGGUUGUGGUGCCCCAUUCCACUCCACCCCCCUUAGCAGGUCCUUAUGGUUGUAUGGGGAAUCGUUGUGGAGCAUGCCAACCCAGCUCCAUCCUGGGAACAGCACCUGUAUUUUACCCUAAAAUUUCUGUCCCAUUAUAGCUCCUGUUAGGAUACAAAUGUAACUCGGUUUCCACUGAUUUUACCCCCAGUCAUCUUUCCAUACAAACAUUGCUCCGCUCUCCAGAGGAUUAUUGUGAGCAGAUGUGAGCUCUGCUGUCCCUUUGGACUGACAAAGGCAGAGGUUUUGUCCCAAGUUCCUUUUGAACCUGUCUUGCACCUGUUACGAGUCCUCAGUCUCCUGCAAUUUUGUGGGUCAGUGACAUGUAAAACAGCACAGCUGGCUGGCAUGCUUUGCUUAUGAGGGGAGACAAGAGAAGAAUCCCUCUGCUCACACCAGACCUGCAGCUGCCAAACCUCACCAAAGCACCUGAGGAGCCCCCAGGGACUGAUGGUACAGAAGGGAGGUGAUGGAGGACAGCACAGCAGGCAGCCUGCCCUCCAUCUGGGUGUGAAGAAGGCAGGGCUGGGAACUAAGCAACAUCCCAGCAGGUCUGGCUGAUGGUGCCACCCUGAGGGCUUCCCCUGCCUUUGGGCAGUCCCAGCUGCUGCAGCUCACUUGACAGAGACUCAUUGUCUAUACUGUGCUUGGCUGCACUGGAGAUGAUGAAGCCGAGGACAGCAAUGGUUGCCUUCGCAUCCCCUGACUGCAGAUGGGAAGGAGGGCAAGCUCUGUCACCUUGGGAAGGCAUCUGCAGAUUCAUUGCUGCCCGUCUCUGGAGCAUGGCUCCAUCGGGGGAUCGUGGUAAGGACAGCAGUGCUCACCUAACUCUGCACCUGAGGACAGCUUCAGGACCUUGUCAUACUGUGGGAGAGCAGAGCUUCACAGUAAAUACCAGCUAACAUACUUAGUACCAGUGUUAACACUAACAAUCCUUACCUAAAUAUUAAUACUAGUAACACUAUGCGUAUUAUUAGAGGCUGGUAGAGUUCUUAAGGCUGAGGCUUGCAUGAAGAACACAAAAUUAAUUAACGUUGCUGAUUAUGCUAUUGUGUUGAAAUACUUGGCCUCCACUGCAGUAGCCCCACACUAACCUCGAUGGCCUGCCCCAGCAGGUCCCAAAACACCUGGAUGCAGAUCAGCUUAAGCUUCACUGAUGUGAUAAACAGAGUUCAUUCUUUAAAAUUUUUAAAAGUUUAUUAAAGGAUAAAAGGACAAAAUAA